GGUAUGGGAGAUAGUGUUCAAAAAUUAAACAAGCUCUCACCCUCCAUCCCAAAAUGAAAAAAUAACAAAUAAUCCUGACUUUGCACAUCACAUUAAAGACGGUAAGAUGGAGUUCCUUGAUAUCUAAUGGGAGGGGCAUGGUUUGGUGGAGGCUUCUUCCUUUCUCCUCCUCACUGGCUUGCAUGCGUAGUCUCGGCUGGAGCCGCGCAGGGAGGGGAUCACACACAGCUGGGAAAAUCCUGCAUCCAGGGCUUAAUGUAAGCCAGGGCUGCUUGCCAAAGCUUAUCCCUUCAGCCAGAGAAUGUUUUCAUUAACUCUGGCAAGGACAGAACUUGGAAAGUUACCUUAAGGAAGUCAUCGGUUGCAUUCAACAGCCACAAGAAUGAACACAAAGCAUGAGCCAGCACUUACGCCAUGUGAUAUUCCUCCACCACCAUUUGAUGAGGCCACUCUUCCCUCAUUAUAAAACUAAUUAAAAGUUGUAAUUAAACUUGAAAAGAGUGAGAUUAUCCCUCAUUAGCAUAAUGUAACUCAGGAUUUUAUCACACAAACCCACUAUUUCACUACAGUUGUGUUAUCGUCGAUAUUGAAUACAUAUUGAAUGGAGCACCCUCGAUAUUGCACUUCUUUUCCUUAGCAUAAUUGUGCCAGUCUGCUUCUGGUGUGAGAGAAUUGGCCAUCUAUAAGGACGUUGCCCAGGGGAUGCCCAGAUGUUUUUGACAUUUUUACCAUCCUUGUGGGAGGCUUCUCUCAUGUCCCC
rnacentral:lncRNA from 11 species